rnacentral:rRNA from 1 species
GACGAACGCUGGCGGCGUGCCUAAUACAUGCAAGUAGAACGAGUGGCGGACGGGUGAGUAAUGUCUGAGAAACUGCCCGAUGGAGGGGGAUAACUACUGGAAACGGUAGCUAAUACCGCAUACCAUCGGAUGUGCCCAGAUGGGAUUAGCUAGUGGGUGGGGUAACUGCUCACCUAGGCGACGCUCCCUAGCUGGUCUGAGAGGAUGACCGGCCACACUUGAACUGAGCCACGGUCCAGACUCCUACGGGAGGCAGCAGUGGGGAAUAUUGCACAAUGGGCGCAAGCCUGAUGCAGCCAUGCCGCGUGUAUGAAGAAGGCCUUCGGGUUGUAAAGUACUUUCAGCGAGGAGGCGGUACUCGCAGAAGAAGCACCGGCUAACUCCGUGCCAGCAGCCGCGGUAAUUC